CACCCGACUGAGGAACAAGCAGCCUGAACACGCUGACACAGCCACUUCAAGUGACUUUAGAUAACUUAGCUAAAAGUUUCCCGUUUAGAGACACGCUACUUACCACACUGUAGGAGAAGGCACCAAGAAUGACUAAAGCCAUGCGAUUUAAGUGUACAAGGUGUCUGCCCUGAUGGAGUGUUAUCAGGUCCAACGAAAGGACACAAAAACCUGGUAUCGCGCGAAGCCUACUGGAUCAUUUUCCCUUUUCGGAUCGGAUAGAGAGUGGCCAAGAGAAGCGGCCCUUUUCUGACUAUGGCUGGGGCGUCAACUACCUCUAAGCCUUUCUCUUUUCAUGAAACCGUCUUCCCGGAUAACCAGAGUGGCCAAAGCGGAAAUGACUCAGAGUCAUCCAAAUGCCCCUUGGAUGAACCGUCACUGUCCGUCACCUUGAUCACUUUUUACUCCUUCAUAUUUGUGGUGGGAUUGGCUGGGAAUAUUCUCGCCCUGUACGUGUUUCUGGGCAUCCACCGCAAGAGGAAUUCCAUUCAGGUGUACCUCCUUAAUGUGGCCAUUGCCGACCUCCUCCUCAUCUUCUGCCUCCCUUUCCGAAUACUCUACCACACUAACCAAGAUGAAUGGACCCUCGGUGCGGUUUUCUGCAAAGUUGUGGGCCUCCUAUUUUACAUGAACAUGUAUAUCAGCAUUACCUUUUUGGGACUGAUAAGUUUGGACCGCUACGCCAAAAUUAACCGCUCGUUUCAACAGCAUAAAGGACUUACCCCUAAGCACAGCAUUUAUUCCUGCUGCUUCGUGUGGAUGUGUGCAGUGCUUGGGUUUUUGGUAAUGCUUGUUUUCUCGAUUAGGGAAAAUGACCAGUCUGCAAUGUGUUUCCAUUACAGAAACAAGAAGAAGGUGAAAGGGGAAGCAAUUUUUAACUUCAUCCUAGUGAUCCUGUUUUGGUUCACUUUCCUUCUGCUCAUUCUUUCUUAUGCUAAAAUUGCCAAAAAUCUUUUGCGCAUUUCCAAAAGAAGAUCAAAUUUUCCCAACUCCAGGAAAUAUGCCAAGACAGCCCGCAAUUCCUUUAUUGUACUGAUCAUUUUCACUAUAUGCUUUGUCCCCUACCAUGGUUUUCGGUUUAUCUAUAUCACGUCUCAGCUACGGGACACAUCUUGUUACUGGAAAAAGAUUUUUCACAAAACCAAUGAGAUUAUGCUUGUGUUCUCAGCUUUCAACAGUUGUUUGGAUCCAGUCAUGUAUUUUCUUAUGUCAAGCAAUAUCCGUAAAACUGUGUACCACCUUCUUUUUAGACGAUUUCAAGGGGAGUCUAGCAGGAGCGAAAGCACUUCAGAAUUUAAGCAAGCCUAUUCUCUGCAAGAUUCCACAGCUGCCAGAAUUCAGGCAAAUAUUUGAGGUGAUUAUGCUACCAAAAAAGAACCAACCACAGUCCCUUAUAAGGCCAUCUAUUAACCACAGUUCCUUCUCUAAAAUACUAGAGAAUUAACAGGCACAGUUCUGGUAUUACUGCUUCAGGCAAAAGUGACAACAAAAAAACUCUUCCUGAGGCUCUUUUCUUUAACAAAUACGGAAUACUAUAUUUCAUCUUCUUAACUGUGCAAUGCGAUUUCAAAGGAAAGGAAGGAAAAGAACAUCAUGGAGCUGCAAGGAGAGAAGCCAAUCUCAAUAUGGACUGCAUUUCGGGACCCUGGAGGGAGGAAGCUCUCCCUCUGACAUCAUGUGGAAAAAUGAUCCCACUCCCCGUCCUGUCUCGGCCUGGAUGGGGAGCCUGUCACACUUUGUCUCAGCAGGGGAGAACUGGAACUCCAAGCAAUUCCCCAGGGAAAUGCAUGUGCUCUUCAAGAUUUCUUUGGACUCCCAAAAGCCCAAAAUUCAAUUCCCAGAAGCCAUUAUACACGGUUCUCUCACAUUUCUGGAAUAAAAUGGCCACCUGCUUUUUGCCUCCUCAGAGGAUUAUAAUAUUGAUAUAUUACAAUAGUCUCACAUAUUCAUAACAUAAUAUUUACACACAGGAAUAUUUCUAGAGGGCAAAAAGUGAAGAGUUAAAAAUCACCUAGGCAGAUUUGUGUAUCCCUAAUUCCAUAGGUUUAGGGGAAAAGGAAUGAGGCUGGGUGGCUGGAAACCCAGGUUUGAGUCCUGGCCCUGCCAUAACUGCUGUGUGACCAAAGGCCAGGCAUUUAACUUCCCUGUGCCUCAGUUUCUUCUUCUGUGAAAUGGAGGAUAAAACACUGGUUCUCCUUCCUCAUUAGACUGUGAGCCUCAUACGGGACAUAGGGAAUGAAUCCAAUCAGGUUAUAGGGUCUGGCACAUAGUAAAUGUUUAAUAAAUACCAUCAUUACUCCUUAA